UUAUUUCAUAUAAAAUCAAAUGUAUGCAUAAAGUGAAAUUUAAUGUCACAACAAUUCAAAUUUUGUUAGACUCACUUUCACUCUUAUUUCACAUCAAUGUGUAUCUUUUACUAUAAAAAAAAAUAUAAAAAAAAAUUACACUAUCUAGGCCUUCAUCAAUUUGUUAAAUUAGAACAUUAGUAUAAAGGUUAAAAAAUUAAAACAUUAUAUAUUUCACUCCCAAAUUAAAUUAUCU
rnacentral:lncRNA from 1 species